GACGCGUGUCGCGCUUCUCCACAUACCGCGCUUUCUUCACUCCUUUUCGCGCUUUUGAUUUGGGCUUCAUUUGCCAGGCCCGUAAGUGAAGAACCCUAGAUCGCGUCUCGCGAUUACACCAUCGCCUCCGUCCUGAUUUGCGAUUCCGGUAACGGUUCAGACGAGACUUAACUCCCAUUUAUUAUUACCUCCACGAUGUGCCUUCAAUGCGGUCGUCGCGUUGCAUAGGCGGGUUUUCUUCUCAGACCUCAAGUCCGGCAAGUGCUCAUCCGCUGUUGAAGCUCGACUUCUGCGAUUCUGGGAGGCGAAGAAUGUGAAACGCGGUGGGGAGUUGAUGUGGGUCGACAUGCUCUUGAUUGAUGUCAAUAUCAAACGCUCGCCAGCGGAGAAGGCGCUAAUCAGGCCGCGUUUGGAGCGGAGUUGCUUUACUCACCUCUAUCUGCUUCACGAGUUGCCACCGUGAAUCUUUAGGGUUCGUUGUUAGCUGGAAGCUCUGAUUAGUUUCACCAACAAUGGAGGUUCUGAAAGAGCAAACCCCCAUGAAUUUGUACGGUUUGGCAUGAUUGGAGACGUUUGCGGCGAAAGGAUAUGAAUGCACAAGAGAAUGAAGAGAAAUGAUGCAGAUCAUGUUGAUGUUUUAGUCCAUCUGAUUCAGCAAACUAAACAAGCACAUUGAUCCCAAUAAUGCUCUUUAGCUUCCCUUAGAAACCUUAAUGGUUGAUUUUUAAAGAGUCCACAUGAAUUUCUCUUUCAGAUGCAUAAGGUAAAACCACAACAAUUUUAUGUUGAUUUUUUAGUUUACUCACUGCAACAUUCAACCAUCCAUCUCAGUUAGGCUUGCACUGCUUAGUGCAGUGGGUGUUUGCUACAAGUCAAGAAAGUUGCCAUUGCUUAUAUAACUUCGCCAAAAGAUUGUUGGGAACUAACUCAAAUCUAGCUAGCCAUGCCAAGCUGACCACACACGUUGUGGAAGCUACUAAACAUAACAUGAUGGAUGAACCGUUAGUGUAUAAACAAAUUAAUGCCAUCUCAACAUAUAUAUAUUUAUUUAUUUAUUACUAAGGUAUGCAGGUUUACGUGGUUCUCUGCAGCAUAACAACUUUCUGUGAUAUUUGCAGGUUUUCUUUGCUCUCCAUCUUAACUCUUAAGACCCAUGAUCAAUUCAGAUUUGUAAGUCUGAGGGUUUUAUGUGAUCAAUGCGGCAGUGGAUGAAGUUAAAUAAGUAUAGAAAAAUUGUUUUGUUUAUAUACAUAAUUUACAAUAUGUAAAUUGUGAAUGAUGUAGCUGUGUAGAAAUAUUAACUGUAGUAUAUAUUUUUAAAACAAAAGAUUGAAAUGGAAAUGUAAAGUAUUAAAAUCUGCAUGUUAAGUAUUUAAAGAAGUAAUUGCAGAAAUUAAAUGUUAUAAAGUAUACAGAGGUAACGAUAUAGAAAGUUAAAAAGAGAACUUUUUUUUGUAAAAGGGGAUAGAAAACAUACAAUUAAAAUAUUUUUAGGAUAGCUGUCCAGGAUUCUCUUUAAACCAAUUAAAUAUUUAACCAGCGUGUUUUUCUUUGUUUUUUAUUUCAAUUGUAACACAGAGAAUUUAAAAUAUCCCAAAACCGUUCAAUUUAAAUCGAGAACUCUAAAGUGUAUGAGAUUAAAUAAGAAAAUAUUUACUUAAUCUAUACAAGAAUUAAUAUUAGGAAAAAAAAGACCAAAAUAGUAUUAAAUCAAGUUUUUGUUCCCAAACUAGCACUCAAGGUCAAAAGUCACAAAAAUAGCACUCAAGGGGUAGGGUUUAGGGUUUACAAUUUAGGGUUUAGGGUUUAGAGUUUAGGUUUUAGGGUUUAGAGUUGAGAAGUGAGGUUUUGGGGAUAAGAUUUCAAAUUUUGAAAAAUAAAAAAAUUUAAAUUUUUCAAAAGAUAAAAUGCUAUUUUGGUCAUUUUAGUUUUUGAGUGCUGUUUUUGUGAUAUAAACUUAAAAAGGUGUUAUUUUGGAGAUUUUCCCAUAUAUUAAUGCCAUAAUUCUUUAAUA